UUGCUUCAGCAGCACAUACACUAAAAUUGGAACAAUACAGAGAGAAGAGUAGCAGGGCCCCUGCACAAGGAUGACAUGCAAGUUCAUGAAGUGUUCCAUAUAAAA